CUUCUUGGAACAAUAUUUUGGCACAUACAAUCACUGGACUAACUAUUCCGAGAGGAUCAAAUAAACUUGCUAAAACACUCAAUAGAUUUCGCUUUGUAGGUGAUAAGGUUUUUGCCCUUUCCCCCACCUUCGCAAUCUCAAACUUAAACUCAUCGCUUUUGUUAUCCCAUGCCUGUCCUAACACCUUAUGGCAUUUUGAUUCACAUCCUGUUACUCCAAGGGAUGGUUUUGCAUAUGAUUAUGAUCCUCAACCAUGUGUUUUAUCUCACAUUGGUCUGUCUCAUGCACCUUAAUUUUACUUUCCAAUAUAUUACUGUUAGUAGACCACUUUCUUAGCCUGAACCCCCCUUGUGCCAUUCUACU